rnacentral:rRNA from 1 species
ACGCUCGACACCUACGGAGGCAGCAGUGGGGAAUAUUGCACAAUGGGGGAAACCCUGAUGCAGCGACGCCGCGUGAGCGAAGAAGUAUCUCGGUAUGUAAAGCUCUAUCAGCAGGGAAGAAGAUGACGGUACCUGACUAAGAAGCACCGGCUAAAUACGUGCCCGCAGCCGCGGUAAUCUGAGCGGGCUGGCAAGGC